GACGAACGCUGGCGGCGUGCUUAACACAUGCAAGUCGAACGGAAAGGCCCUGCUUGCAGGGUACUCGAGUGGCGAACGGGUGAGUAACACGUGGGUGAUCUGCCCUGCACUUCGGGAUAAGCCUGGGAAACUGGGUCUAAUACCUGAUAGGAGCCAUUUUUAGUGUGAUGGUUGGAAAGUUUUUUCGGUGUAGGAUGAGCUCGCGGCCUAUCAGCUUGUUGGUGGGGUAAUGGCCUACCAAGGCGGCGACGGGUAGCCGGCCUGAGAGGGUGGACGGCCACAUUGGGACUGAGAUACGGCCCAGACUCCUAAGGGAGGCAGCAGUGGGGAAUAUUGCACAAUGGGCGCAAGCCUGAUGCAGCGACGCCGCGUGGGGGAUGACGGCCUUCGGGUUGUAAACUCAUUUCGCUAGGGACGAAGCUUUUUGUGACGGUACCUAGAUAAGAAGCACCGGCUAACUACGUG
rnacentral:rRNA from 1 species